GGACUACAGGGGUAUCUAAUCCUGUUCGCUCCCCACGCUUUCGCGCCUCAGCGUCAGUAUGAUGCCAGGCGGCUGCCUUCGCCAUUGACGUUCCUUCCGAUCUCUACGCAUUUCACCGCUACACCGGAAAUUCCGCCGCCCUCUCAUCUACUCCAGUCCUAUCGUUUGCGAUGCACUUCCCAGGUUAAGCCCGGGGCUUUCACAUCACACUCAUAGCACCGCCUACGCGCCCUUUACGCCCAGUCACUCCGAUUAACGCUCGCACCCUCUGUAUUACCGCGGCGGCUGGCAC
rnacentral:rRNA from 1 species